rnacentral:rRNA from 1 species
UACGGAGGGUGUGAGCGUUGUCCGGAUUUAUUGGGUUUAAAGGGUGCGUAGGUGGCCCUGUAAGUCAGUGGUGAAAUACAGCCGCUUAACGGUUGAGGUGCCAUUGAUACUGCAGGGCUUGAAACAAGUGGAGGCUGCCGGAAUGGAUGGUGUAGCGGUGAAAUGCAUAGAUAUCAUCCAGAACACCGAUUGCGAAGGCAGGUGGCUACGUUUGAUUUGACACUGAGGCACGAAAGCAUGGGGAGCAAACAGG